AACGAACGCUGGCGGCAUGCCUAACACAUGCAAGUCGAACGGGAUCCUAGCUUGCUAGGUGAGAGUGGCGGACGGGUGAGUAACACGUGGGAAUCUGCCUUUUGGUUCGGGAUAACCGCGGGAAACUGCGGCUAAUACCGAAUGCCCUCGAGAGAGGAAAGAUUUAUCGCCAGAAGAGGAGCCCGCGUCCGAUUAGGUAGUUGGUGGGUAAAGGCCUACCAAGCCGACGAUCGGUAGCUGGUCUGAGAGGAUGAUCAGCCACACUGGGACUGAGAUACGGCCCAGACUCCUACGGGAGGCAGCAGUGGGGAAUAUUGGACAAUGGGGGCAACCCUGAUCCAGCAAUGCCGCGUGAGUGAUGAAGGCCUUAGGGUUGUAAAGCUCUUUUGCCAGGGAAGAUGAUGACUGUACCUGGAGAAUAAGCCCCGGCUAACUUCGUGCCAGCAGCCGCGGU
rnacentral:rRNA from 1 species